GCAGCCUGCAGCAUGCCCUCUGGACACCACGACACCGGCAGACGGCUUGUGCUCUGGAGCAGAGCUGAGCUCUGGGGAGAGCUGUAGCCAGGAGGAGGCCUGUGCCAAGCCAAACCUGGCGAAACCCGGAGCGUGCCCCAUACUGCUGAGGGGCUCCCUGGGGCCCUGCUCGGAAGUGACUUUGAAGAACUGCAGUCACGACGUUGACUGCGAGGAGGCCAAGAAAUGCUGCUGGACCGGCUGCCGAUAUGACUGCCUGGCGCCGGAGGAAGCGCAUCCUGGGACCUGCCCACCCAGAGCGACAGAGAACGGGACAUCCCACUGUGUCUCCUUCUGCGUCCGAGACAACGAUUGCGCCAAGCAUGAGAAGUGCUGCUGGCGACGUUGUGGUCUUUCCUGCAUAGCUGCUGUCCCAGAUGGUCCAGCCACAGAGCCCCUGAGAGCUGAAGAUCUGACAGAACAUGGAAACAGAAGGCUUCAAACCAUUGAGCCUCUUCAGAAGAAAACCAAGAAGAAGCCAAAAGCCCCUUCAGAAGAAAGCCACGUGGGCAGAACCCCAGCAGAGCCGGUCUAGAUGCAAAGAGGGAAUCCCUCCCCGGCUGCUGUUCAGUUCAGGUGCCGCACGGACAUUCUUCAGUCUGCCUGAGUUCCCACGGAAAUUCUGGUGUGGUUCCAGGUUCCUGCCUUGAUCCUCCUUGUUUGCUUGGAAAGGUGGCCUAUAAAAACUCCAAUAAAAUGCC